AUCUGUUACUUUACCUGAUUCAAAUAAUAUCGCUACGAAAAAGAAGAGGAAGAAGAACAGGAAUAAGAAUAAGAAUAAGAGCAUGAUCAAUGCUGAAGAACCAAAACCUGCGUUAGAGCUAGGAAAGAAUGAAGAACCAAAACCCGCUUUAGAGCUAGGAAAGAAUGAAGAACCAAAACCCGUGUUAGAGCUAGAAAAGAAUGAAGAACCAAAACCCGCGUUAGAGCUAGAAAAGAAUAAAGAAGUAGAAUCAAUUGCAGUUGCAAAAACUAUGACUAGGAAGAGAAAACGAAAAAGUGUGCAAAAUGGGGCAGAAUCCAAUGAGCAUAAUAUUGAACAGGCUGAAACUGCGGUUCAGAUGUCGAUACUAGAUACAGAAGUGCCUCCGAUUGACAAAGCAAUAGCUGUGAAUAAUCA
rnacentral:lncRNA from 1 species